UUACUGAGAAUGUACACAAUCAGUUGUCAUAAAACUUAGUUACAGAUGUAUUUAUGCCUUGGUUGAGAGUUUCAACUCCGAAAUUGACAAAUUAGUUUAUUUUAUUUAUAACAUUUUGUAUUUUAAUUGUGUCCAUUUUGUUAAAAUACAGUUUGAGUGAAAUCAGUAUGCAGAUUGUUGAAGGGAAAACAUUGAGACGGGGCGAGGAAGAUGACAAAACAUGAUUGAGGAUCCCAAAGUUCUUUGGCUCAAGCUACUCAGCCUACCAUGAGAAAAUUAAAAGAUCUGCCAUGAAGAAGAGGAGCGUUCUCAAGUUUCAUAUUAUAGAUGGCAAGUAUUGUUUAGAUUUAAUUUUAAAGUAUUCUUGAUAAAGAAAGGGUGUUUGGCAGUUCAUAGCUAUUAACUGUGAUUGCAUUGUGUAUGAAUUUUCAAAAUCAAUUCAUUCUUUGGUGACCGUGUGCUUCAAACUCAUAAUUUUUAAUAAAAAUAUUUACUAUAUAUUUGUCCAGGUGUAUAAAAUGUUAAUCACUGUAUGAAUUCUAUUUCAGCAUGAUUGUCAUCUUCAAUUUGAGGGACUCUCACCCAAAGUCCUUUUACUGUUCCAUAUCAGGAAAAAGUUCAUGAGCAGAAUAACGCUAUUUGGGAAAAAGGAAAAGCAUUAGAAGAAUUCCUGCAUGGGAAGAAAAGUUUUGGACUCUGAAAAGGGAAAUGUGACAAAUACAUUUUGAAAGUUAUUGAUUUCCACUGAAACCAAUAUCCACAAGAAAGAGGAACAUAGUAGUUUUAUGUUGAUUCACAACUUUAAAUUCAAGAAUGUACAGUUGGUUUUAUUAUAAAACAUGUCACGUACGAAAAACAUUUUCGUGAAAUGUACUUUGUCUUCGAUACUUAUUUAUGUGUAUGUGAUUUGCAGGAUAGGAUGUGGGCAACAUAUACUGUCAAGAAUCUUGAUGUUUUUGAUCUUAUGUUUGUAAAAAAAAAUAGUAAUAAACAAAGUUAAAGUCAACUUUUUGUUACUUUGUAUAUAUUAAUUAUGAUGUCCAGACUUCCGCAGUAUCGACUUGGAAGAAAAAUCUUAUUUAUAAAUUGCAUAAGGCUUUAUUCACUAGAAUGGAAAACAGAAAUUAUUAACUUUUGUGGUAUUUAAAGAUGGUAUUUAAUUAAAUUUAAGAUCUGUAAUUAUCAGAUUUAAUAUAUCCUAAAUAUGGUGUUUAAUGGUUGUAAAUAUUAACUUUACUUUUUUGUAAAGUCAAGACAAUGUGGGACAUUACAUCAUAUUUAAGUGCAUGUAAAGUUAAUGUAAAGGUUACCUUUUCCAACUUUGACUUUUUUCAGAAAAGCCAAUUAAAGGCAUUGUAAAUAAUAAA